UCGUGUCGUGAAGAUGUUGGGUUAAGUCCCGCAACGAGCGCAACCCUCACCCCUUGUUGCCAUCAGGUGAUGCUGGGCACUCUAGGGGAACUGCCCCGGUCAACGGGGAGGAAGGUGGGGAUGACGUCAAGUCAUCAUGCCCCUUACGCCCUGGGCUACACACGUGCUACAAUGGCCGGUACAAAGGGAUGCAAUACCGCGAGGUGGAGCUAAACCCAGAAAGCCGGUCUAAGUUCAGAUUGGAGUCUGCAACUCGACUCCAUGAAGGAGGAAUCGCUAGUAAUCGC
rnacentral:rRNA from 1 species